AAAGAUUAAGCCAUGCAUGUCUAAGUAUAAGCAAUUAUACCGUGAAACUGCGAAUGGCUCAUUAAAUCAGUUAUCGUUUAUUUGAUAGUACCUUACUACUUGGAUAACCGUGGUAAUUCUAGAGCUAAUACAUGCUAAAAACCCCAACUUCGGGAGGGGUGUAUUUAUUAGAUAAAAAACCAAUGCCCUUCGGGGCUCCUUGGUGAUUCAUGAUAACUUCUCAGAUCGCAUGGCUUUACGCCGGCGACGGUUCAUUCAAAUUUCUGCCCUAUCAACUUUCGAUGGUAAGGUAUUGGCUUACCAUGGUUU
rnacentral:rRNA from 1 species